AGAAUUAAUAAGAAUAGCUGGAUCUCUUGAAAAUAAUUGAGCCUCAACAUUUCAAAUAAAAAUAACUCCCUUUUAAAAAAAAGAAAUUAGCCCAAUGACUCCAAGGAUUUUCGGCCCAUCAGAUUUAAAACCCAUUUAAAACCCAAAUCAAUUAAAAAGAAAACCCUAAAAUAAUUAUAAUAAAAGUCAAUUUAAAACAAGAAAAGAGGAAUUUCUCUAUUCCUUCCAAACCUAUCGGUUCUCAUUUUCUCUCACUUCUCACAUCCGCCUUCUCUCCCUCUCUCUUUCUCAAUCGGCGCCCACCCUUCUCCUUCCACAUGCAGCCUCCGCCGUCCCUCCUUCCGGCGAGAGUGUCGCCAGAAAACACCCCUGGAAUGCUCUCUUCCCUUCGUCGCUCAACCUAACUCUCUCUCUCUCGUGGGUAUCAGAUGACGAGCGGCCAUGUAGGACCGCCGCCGCUGUCGUUCUCGCCUUCUGCUGUGACCGGUGGCGCCUGGCCUUCAGCCGCGCCGCCCCAUUCGUCUCCCUCAGAUCCUGCUCUCUCUCUCCCUCCUCACGUUUCCAACAGCAACAGCAGCCCAAGAGGAGCUGCUGCCCCUGCUGCUCCGGCACCUGCC
rnacentral:lncRNA from 1 species